rnacentral:rRNA from 1 species
UAAGAAUCUUCCGCAAUGGGGGAAACCCUGACGGAGCGACGCCGCGUGGACGAUGAAGGCCGUAAGGUUGUAAAGUCCUUUUGCAGGAGAAGAAUAAGGGUGGGAGUGGAAAGCCCAUCUGAUGACGUUAUCCUGCGAAUAAGCCCCGGCCAAUUACGUGCCAGCAGCCGCGGUAAUACGUAUGGGGCGAGCGUUGUUCGGAGUUAUUGGGCGUAAAGGGCGUGUAGGCGGCCCGAGAAGUCUGGUGUGAAAUCGCAGGGCCUAACCCUGCGGGUGCGCUGGAAACUGUCGGGCUGGAGUCCCGGGGGGGAAGCUGGAAUUCCUGGUGUAGGAGUGAAAUCUGUAGAGAUCAGGAAGAACACCGGUGGCGAAGGCGAGCUUCUAUUCGAGGACUGACGCUGAGGCGCGAAAGCGUGGGGAGCAAAC